AUGCUCCCAGGACGUGGUCAGACCAGCUUCAGUAACGCGGGGACCCGACCAGGCCCGGGAGCGGCAGGCGGAGCGCGGCGCGGGCACCCGGGGCGGCACAGCCGUCGGCACCCCGGGGCCCCGAGUCCGGAGGGCGCUCGCCCCGGCCCGGAUCUCCCCCGGAGGGAGGGGCCGGGCGGGGGCGAGGGCGAGGGCGAGGGCGAGGGCGCGCGCGGGGGUCGCACACCCUCCGGGGGGUGGGGUGGCCCCGCAGCAAGUUCCGCAAGUAACCCCGCCGCGCGCCGGGGCCCGCGUCCCGCGUCCCGCGGCCUUUUCUCUGCGCUCUCAGGUGGGUCCCAGAGGAGUUGCUGCGCCCCGGGAGGUCCUCGCGAGCGCUCGCGUCCCCAGGCCGGGAAUAACCUUCCUGCGAUCGGUAACUUUGCGGGAGCAGCGGCGGCGGCCCCUCCGCCCGCGGGACCCCCGCCCGCGCCCCCGCCCCGCCCCGCGGCCGCGCCGUCGGCCCCCGGGCGCCCCCGGGGCAGCGCCUUCACCCCGGGGCAGUCCUCGCCGGGCCGUGCGCGCACACGAGCGGAGGCUCCGAGCCGACCCGCCGCGCUCCCCGUCCGCUCGCCCGACACGCACCUCGGAGACGCAGUCCGCGGGGACCUGCUGCAGCCCGCGAGCGCGCGGCGGCGCCUACCGGGGCCGCCGCCUCGCCGCCCGCCGCUGCCCGGGGCUGCCCAUCGGCCCGGACUCUGCCGGCGCCGGGCUCCGGCGGGAGGCGGCCCGGCCCCGCGGCUGCGGCUGCGGCUGCGGCUGCGGCUGCGGCUGGAGCGGUCCGCCCGGGGUCCGGCGGGCGGGCGGGCGGGCGGGCGGCCGGGGCGGGGGCGCGGCGCUGCUCCUCCUCCUCCGUCUUCCUCCUCCCGCUCCGCCGGCUCCUCCCGGGCUCCCGGUCUGCCGCGCCGGCUCCCGACGCCGCCGCCCGCCCGCCCUGCGGCCCCGCCCCCGCCCGCUCUGCGGCCUCCCAUUGGCUGCUGCCUGCAGGCCCCCUCGGCCCCGCCCCGCGAUUGGGCGCGGGCGCCGUCCGUCCCGCCGCCCCGCGGGGCUCGGGGCGCAGCCGGUGCGCGGUUCCCAGGCCCCGCGGCGCGCGAGAGCUCCGCGUCCCGAAGGCGUCCGGGCGCCCUUCCCCGGGGGGGCUGCGGGGCGCGGGGUGCGGGGCGCGGCGCCUGGCGACCUCGCGGCAGGUGCGUCCUACCUGGCCCCGCGCUCCGGGAGGCCCGGCGCCGCCCUCCGCGGACUCGUCCUCCCCCUCCGGCCGCAAGAAGUUAA
rnacentral:lncRNA from 1 species